GUUGCUUCCACCUUUGGGCUAUUGUGACAAUGCUGCUGUGAACAUAGUUGUACAUAGUUGUAUGUCCUUAGCUAUAAGUUCUAUCGACAACACCCUCAGAAGCUUUGGAAAUCCCUGAGUUGUACUCAUUCACUGUUAACAACGUAACAAAGUUUCCUGUUUUCCUGUUUUCUUUCUUAGGAGCUGCCUAUAUUAAAACUAAAUACAACAAACAGUCAUCAGAAUCAAAACACAGAUAUCCAAAACUCCGAAAAUACCUGACCUGUACUCUUCAAAACCAUCCAGCUCUUCAAAAACAAGGAAAGUCUCAGAAACUAUCACAGCCAAGAGGAGCCAAAAAGGAGCCAUGACAGCUAUGUAGAGUGUGGUACCUUGGAAGGAAUUCUGGAACAGAAAAAGGACAUUAGGUUACUAUAAACCAUGGAUGGAGAGAACUAAGAAUAUGGCAUAAGUGAAAUCUCUGCAAAUGAGAAUUUCAAGGAGAAAGGGAGACUUCCUUCUGACCCAUGUCUACAUGAAGGAGAAGGGAAUGCCAGUAAGUCAGAUGCUAAUGUUAAAAUUCCUAUUUCUUUCUGUUCCCGGAUCAGUCCCCUUCAAGUGGGAGGGUGCUGUGGAAAUAACCAUAUGUGUGAGAAGACCUCUUCAUCUCAUGUGAGGGUACCUGUGGGGCUCUAAGGAACCUUGGCAUUUGGCUCAGCUCCAUAUAUGAUAUAGAGCUAGAGCAAUAUUCUGGCCUUUGCUGAAGAUGGUGGCUGAAUAAAUAAGAGUGAAGCAGCACCUCUAGCUUUCUCUGCAUGAGAUGCAGGAGACAAAAGUUUGUGCAUGUCCUGGCAGAGAAAUAUUUAGGAGCUAAGAAGAAUGGAGGAAUAAUACAGGUGCAGGGAUCAGAGGAAGAGACUAUAAAAUACAUAGGACUUUCGUCACUAGGAACAAAUGGAUGGAUACCAUGGACCUUAGCAGUGGGUGCCAGAAUAUACCCCAACAAGUAAGACUGGAAGAACUGCCUCUCAGUAGACAUGAGUCCAGAAACCAAAGCCAACUUGCAGAAGCCACAAGAACCUGAGACCUUCUUGUUCCCCUGUCACCAUAAGGUGCCUCAGUGCCAUUUUAGGGAAAAGUACCAGGUGGAAAAGAAAGUCCAAAAGAGCUGAGCAUUUUCCUGAAAAUGACUUAUUCAUCCAAAAAAAAAGUUAUUUAAAAUGAAAGGGAAUGUGGCUCAGUGUAAAUUGCCCUCACCCCCCGGUCCAUCGCUCUGUCCCCCAACCUUCUGCACUUUGUAAGUGCUAAACUCAUCAGGGAAAGGACUUAUAAAAAGAAAUAAAUCCAUUGUAGAACAUAAAUAGGUACAUUUUUUUCUGUAU